UCUCUCUCUCUCUCUCUCUCUGCCCCUCCCCCACUGGUGAGCAUGAACUCGCUCUCUCUCUCAGGUGAAAAAUCUUCUAAUCGUCGGAGUCUAGAACUCAACUCUGUUAUAUAUAUAUAUACAAAGUAUUUUCCUGUAUGGUUUAAUAUAUGCUGAAUACACUUAUUUUUAAUCUUGUAGCUACCCACUCCUCUGCCUAACUCCUUGCAUGGCUUGUUUCCUGAUCUUUUUCUUCCUCUCGAGCCCAAACUUGUUCAGUAUAAGUAGGUGCCAGCAGCUGGCUCCCACAUCACGACUUUUAAAGUGGCCGUGCCGAAGCGCUUACAUGUGGAAAUGCGCAUUGUUCUACGAGAGAUUCCUCUGGCCAACGGCACAGGCAAGUUUAGUGAUGGGAGAGAUAGCGCGCAUUUACUCUGUGCUAGGCCUGCUGUCCCGAGUUCUUCCACGUGUGUAGUUUAUUCGACCCCCACACAGCCCUCUGACGUCAGUACUGUGGCGACACCCAGGUGACCGGUGGGGAAACUGAGGCACAAAGCAGGUGAGGCACUUGCCCAAGGGACAGCUGGGAAGCAGCAGAAGCGGGGUUUGACUCGAGCGUGUCUAGCUCCGGGCUCCACGCACCAAACUGCGAGACUCUCGAAGACCUCUCUCUUAUUACUUCUGCUCUAGAUCCUCAUCAGAGACCACUUUGAAAGCCCGAGUCAGGACGCCAUCCUCUUUAACAGUGCUUGAGGACUGGGUGAUGCCCCCUUCUGUACUUUUCACCCUGGCAGCCAGGAAACUCACCGUCAACAGUCGUGAGUCGACGGCAGCCAACUGUCUCUCUCCCUCUCUCAUCCCUGUCUUCUGGUGCUACUAUCUCUCCCUCAGCUCUCUGCGGUUGCUGGUCCCUCAGUUCUGUUUCUAUAACACCUGCAAGGAAUUUUUAUGCUUCUAACACUCAGCUCCUUCCUGGACACGCAACUAUAAUUGGCAAAACCUGACAGAUCUGGGUGACUAGAUUGUGCACAUGUGUGAAGGAAUUCUGGGUAGCCUCACAUAAAUUAUGCAUGUGUGUGAACGAA